CAAAACUUGUGUGAUGCAGGGUGAACUUGCCUAUGUUUCUUGCUCUCUUUCCUGUACCAAAAUUUCACCCACAAAUAUUCUGCUUGUUCCAAGUGGUACAAGCCUCCUUCCCUAUUUGCAGACAUCUUCAGUUCUUUCUUUGUUUCUCCACCAACUUUGCAAUCUCUCAAGCUGCAUCAAAGUAGCAUGGAUUUUGUGCUUUAUCUUAUAAACUCUUUCUAUUUGUUUCUGAAAAAAA